rnacentral:tRNA from 1 species
GGAAAUGUAGCUCAAUGGUAGAGCACAUGCCCAGCAUGCAUGAGAUCCCAAGUUCAAUUUCCA